UACGAGAGGGGCGAGCGUUAUUCGGAAUCACUGGGCGUAAAGUGUGUGAAGGUGGUUUUGUAAGUAGAAGGUAAAAGGUUACGGCCUAACCGUAAAGCUGCGUUCUAAACUGCAAGACUAGAGACUGGAAGAGAGGAGUAGAAUUCUCGGAGUAGCGGUCAAAUGCGUAGAUAUUGGGAGGAACACCAGUGGCGAAGGCGGCUCACUGGACUGGUACUGACGCUGAGGCGCGAAAGCGUGGGGAGCAAACGGG
rnacentral:rRNA from 1 species